rnacentral:rRNA from 1 species
ACCAUGCCUACGGGCGCAGCAGUGGGAAUAUUGCACAAUGGGCGAAAGCCUGAUGCAGCGACGCCGCGUGAGGGAUGACGGCCUUCGGUUGUAAACCUCUUUCAGCAGGGACGAAGCGCAAGUGACGGUACCUGCAGAAGAAGCACCGGCUAACUACGUGCCAGCAGCCGCGGUAAUACGUAGGUGCAAGCGUUGUCCGGAAUUACUGGGCGUAAAGAGUUCGUAGGCGGUUUGUCGCGUCGUUUGUGAAAACCAGCAGCUCAACUGCUGGCUUGCAGGCGAUACGGGCAGACUUGAGUACUGCAGGGGAGACUGGAAUUCCUGGUGUAGCGGUGAAAUGCGUAGAUCAUGGU